rnacentral:rRNA from 1 species
UACGUAGGGUGCAAGCGUUGUCCGGAAUUAUUGGGCGUAAAGAGCUCGUAGGCGGUCUGUCGCGUCUGCUGUGAAAACUCAGGGCUUAACCCUGAGCUUGCAGUGGGUACGGGCAGACUAGAGUGCGGUAGGGGAGACUGGAAUUCCUGGGUGUAGCGGUGAAAUGCGCAGAUAUCAGGAGGAACACCGGUGGCGAAGGCGGGUCUCUGGGCCGUAACUGACGCUGGAGGAGCGGAAAGCAUGGGGAGCGAACAGG